UGUAAACUUGUGUCAACCAUUUUAUAUCUCUAUUGAUAAGAUUCAUUGAAUUCAUCCAUGAGCGUAACCUCACUUUCACGAGUCGUUUCAAUCCUACGGAGUUCUCAUGAACGCGCAGUGGCACUCAAGUUAACCUAGUGUCAAAGAUGUUGGAUGAAAAAAUGUCCAACAGUGUCCGUAAUCUAAAAGUAGAAGCCCUGAAAAAUUUCAACCUUGUCGAUACAGAGGCGAAAGCAUUGGACUUGGACAAACCUCGGAAACUAGAUCCCUUAAAGACGGGAUCGACGAUCAUUGUUACUGGUUACAUACUUCCUAACGCAACUAGAUUCUCUGUAAAUCUAACAUGCAAGACACCCGAGACCUUGGCACUGCACUUUAACCCACGCCUGGAUAGACAGUACGUUGUCAGAAACACCAAAAGACAUGGCACUUGGGAAGAGGAGGAACCAUGCGCCCCGAUCGGAGUUCAGGGCUUCUCCUUCAAGAGGAGCACGUACUUCCACCUCAUGAUCUUCUGCUCUCCUAACAGUUUUCAGAUAGCCGUGAAUGGAGAUCAUUUCUGCGAGUUCGCCUUCAGGGUGCCGCUGGAGACGAUAACUGGGAUCGAGGUGACCGGCCAUGUUGAGGAUGUAAAGACGAGACAAUGCGUCCGAUUCGUGUACCCUGAUCCGAAUAUCCUGAAGACCUCUCCAGCUCUGCAACUGGAUGGUACCCAUAUUCUCGAAGAAAAUCUGGAAAUGCCUGUAAACGUGGACCUCAACAAUGGCUUCCGAACUGGAGCACGCCUCUUCGUCAAGGGCAGGUUGAAACUUCUGCCUCACUCGUUCUACUUGAAUCUGCAGAAAGGGAAGUUCAUCUAUCCACAUCCGGUGAUCGCUCUUCACCUUAAUCCGAGAUUUUUGUACGGCAGAUCGCCGCCGUGCGUCGUUCUGAAUUGUUGGCAAAAUGGAAGUUGGAGUCGCGAGGAAAGACAGGAAGGACACUUGUUCUGGGGACCGGGAAGAGAGUUUCUCCUUACUGUGCGCUGUGAACGCGAUGCCUGGACGAUAUGGCUGGACAACACAAUGAUUGGAGAAUUCAAGCACAGACUCGAUCCCACGAUAAUCGACAGUUUGCGUAUCGUAGGAGAUGUGAUUAUUCAUCAACUUGCUGUUAAUUACAAGUAAUGGCCAAAAGGAGUAUGCCCACCGGGGACCUCCUCCAGGAGAGCUGUCGUUCAUAAAUUAGACAGGAGUCCAAAAGCUUCCUCUCGCUUUCCGACGUGGAAAACUGCUUCCGUACCAAACUUCGACUGAUUUCUGGACGACGAUGACUGCGAUUAUUCCCAGUCCCUGCAUAAAGUCAGCUCCAUUUUUACCGUCCACGGCAUUCCAGGCUGAGAUACAUAAAGAAAUAAUUGGCGUCACGCCAACGAAAGGAACAAUUGAGUAGAGAUAGGAAAACUUCCGACUAAGACCAUUCCACGAGCAGAUCUCUUUUCUUUCUUUAUUUUAAUCUCUUUUUUCCCCCACUUUUUUUUUUAUUCAAGUCAAGCUCUGCCAAGUUUCUAAUCUCCGCGAUAGUACGGAGUAAUUUUUUAUGUAUAUUUUAUCUCUCUCUCGUUAUUCUGUAUUCGAGGAAUGCGUCUCGUCGAGGAAAAAAAUAUCGUUCUUUCGGUCUCGCUGGGUCGAAGCGACUUCCGGCACGUUUCGUAGCCUCUAUAAGUGAUUAAUCAGGGAGGGGAGAAAAUAUUAAAAAAUGAAAAAAAAAUCUCGUCAAACUGAGCACGGGCAACGAGAGAGCUAUUGUACUCCCGUGCCUAAUUUUCACAGGAAGCCGUACUCUCUGUGAAGCGUAACCGAUGUUACGUAAUUGCGUAUCAUUUUUACAUCACGAAUGGUUCGUUUGUAUAUGAAGUGUUGAAUUUUUAAAUAUUGUAUCGCCUUAUUUAUUAAUAAUAAUGUACAUUACUUUUAGGAAACAAUAAAAACAAUUACAUUUUCACCA
rnacentral:misc_RNA from 1 species